GCGGGGCUCGUUCAUCUGGUGAUGACGCCUGUCUCACACGCAGGAUCAGGAGAGUUCGAUCCUCUCGCCCCGCA
rnacentral:tRNA from 1 species